rnacentral:lncRNA from 1 species
AUAAUUUGGCGAGGAAGAUCAACAUGUAGGCCUAGACCAAGACGAAGUUUACAACCUCCUGAGCUGAUUGGGAGUAUGCUGGAGCCCAGUGAUGAGGAGCCUCGAGAGGAACCACCAACUGAAAGUCGGGAUCCUACACCUGGUCAGAAGAGGGAAGAUCAGGGUGCAGCUGAUAUUCAAGUGCCUGACCUGGAAGCUGAUCUCCAGAGCUGUCUCAGUCAAAGACUGGGGAUGAAUGCGGAGAUGGUCCUGAUGUUCAGGGGACAAUUCUGCCAAAAUCAGAGCAAUUUAAAAUGCCAGAAGGAGGU